AAUUCAGAUUAGAAGUACUGUAUAUUGGUAGCCAGUUGGCCUACCAAUAUACAGUACUUCUAAUCUGAAUUC
rfam:Anolis carolinensis unplaced genomic scaffold chrTn0060, whole genome shotgun sequence.